UACGUAGGGGGCAAGCGUUGUUCGGAAUUACUGGGCGUAAAGGGCGCGUAGGCGGCACGGCAAGUCGGGAGUGAAAGGCCUGGGCUCAACCGAGGAACUGCUUUCGAGACUGCCGAGCUAGAGUGCGGAAGGGGCAACCGGAAUUCCCAGUGUAGCGGUGAAAUGCGUAGAGUAUUGGGAAGAACACCUGAGGCGAAGGCGGGUUGCUGGGCCGACACUGACGCUGAGGCGCGAAAGCCAGGGGAGCAAACGGG
rnacentral:rRNA from 1 species